GACGAACGCUGGCGGCGUGCUUAACACAUGCAAGUCGAACGGAAAGGCCCUGCUUUUGUGGGGUGCUCGAGUGGCGAACGGGUGAGUAACACGUGAGUAACCUGCCCUUGACUUUGGGAUAACUUCGGGAAACGGGGGCAAAUACGGGAAAGGGGCUCCUGCGGCAGGGGGGGGGUGGGAAAGUUUCGGCGGUUGGGGAUGGACUCGCGGCUUAUCAGCUUGUUGGUGGGGUAGUGGCUUACCAAGGCUUUGACGGGUAGCCGGCCUGAGAGGGUGACCGGCCACAUUGGGACUGAGAUACGGCCCAGACUCCUACGGGAGGCAGCAGUGGGGAAUAUUGCACAAUGGGCGGAAGCCUGAUGCAGCAACGCCGCGUGCGGGAUGACGGCCUUCGGGUUGUAAACCGCUUUCGCCUGUGACGAAGCGUGAGUGACGGUAAUGGGUAAAGAAGCACCGGCUAACUACGUG
rnacentral:rRNA from 1 species